CACGCGAACACGAAAUGUGGGUCAGAAUUGUCAGUGGUGGUACGUUUUAGUCCUGUCCGCUUUCGCUGCGGGAAAAUAACGCUAGUGCGUCGAGUGCCACCGAAGAAAGCACAUAUUCACAGAAAAACAAACACAAAACCGUGCCAGAAUGACGUCUCCGGCAAUCAACGGCCAGAAAGAGAAUUCCAAGACCGACUCAAACGUGACUUUAUCCCAGCAACAACCGCCCCAACAACCCACCGAACUAUCAACGUCGAUUUUCGUCGCUUGGUGGCGAGUUUUCAAGCUCGCAAACCUCUUGAUCAAGCAAAGUUGUUAGAUUAUGAGGCGAUAGUACACGAAAUAUCAGGGCCGUUUGUACGAAACGUCCGAAAAUUUUCGCACAAACGGCCGCGUAGAUUAAUUAUUGAGAAAACUAUUGUAGAAUUCCUGUAUUAACCUUUUAAUUAGUGACGAUGUGAGGAGUUUGAUGGUGGCGCAGUACAAGUUCUUCCAUCUUUGAUGCAUUAAUUUUAAUUUAUCAAUUAAUAACAAAUGGCAAUUGUUGAACACCGUCUAGCUAUAAAUGUUAUAUCUUGAUCAAAGAGCGGUGGUCUCUAUGGUGUGGUGGUACAAUAAACAUGUCCGCCCCUUUGAUGAUAAGACACACGUAAUUAUAUUUUCACACAAUGUGUUGUGUUAUCACACGAAAUAAUAUGUUAUACAUGAUUAUACCAUAACCCGUAUGUGAUAUAAAACAAUUAUCAGAAAUUUAUAUCGUGUUUUGGGUGAUAGAAUGAGUGGUCUCGAUUUUAUUUAAAUAAAUGUUAUCCACUGUU